rnacentral:lncRNA from 1 species
CGUGCAAAACCCUUGACAAUUUUUUCUUUAUUUUCCUGAUCUUUUUGACAAUUUUGUUGAGACCAAAUAGGGCAAAGCCAAGUUUGGGUCGGGUCCAAAUGGUGUCAAGAAGCUGUUGUAGAAAUUUUAGAUUUUUCUGAUAAACGAGCGAAAAUUUAUGCAUGUUUUACAGAAGAUAUCUCAAAUUAUGUUUUUCGAAAGGCACAACCGGCGGCGGUGGCAACGGUAGUUAGGGC